GUCGGGAAUAUUGGGCAAUGGGCGCAAGCCUGACCCAGCGACGCCGCGUGAGGGAUGAAGGCCUUCGGGUCGUAAACCUCUGUCGGGGGGGAAGAACGGCAGUGAGGUGAAUAAUCUCACUGUCUGACGGUACCUCCAAAGGAAGCGCCGGCUAACUCCGUGCCAGCAGCCGCGGUAAUACGGAGGGCGCAAGCGUUGUUCGGAAUCACUGGGCGUAAAGCGCGUGUAGGCGGCCGGGCAAGUCGGAUGUGAAAUCCCGAGGCUCAACCUCGGAACUGCACUCGAAACUGCUCGGCUCGAGUCCCGGAGAGGAUGGCGGAAUUCCCGGUGUAGGGGUGAAAUCCGUAGAUAUCGGGAGGAACACCAGUGGCGAAGGCGGCCAUCUGGACGGUGACUGACGCUGAGACGCGAAAGCGUGGGGAGCAAACAGGAUUAGAAACCCGAGUAGUCC
rnacentral:rRNA from 1 species